rnacentral:rRNA from 1 species
GUUUUUCGCUCUAAGAUGAGUCCGCGUGAGAUUAGCUAGUUGGUGAGGUAAUGGCUCACCAAGGCAACGAUCUCUAACUGGUCUGAGAGGAUGAUCAGUCACACUGGAACUGAGACACGGUCCAGACUCCUACGGGAGGCAGCAGUAGGGAAUAUUGCACAAUGGAGGAAACUCUGAUGCAGCGACGCCGCGUGAGUGAUGAAGGCCUUAGGGUCGUAAAGCUCUGUCGCAGGGGAAUAAAAAAAUG